GAUGAUACCAGCCGGUAACACACUUUUAUGUAUUAUCUAACUUAUACAUUUUCCCUGAACAAUAUUUGUGUUUACGAUGGCUUGGAAUUUAUGGCCUUACAUAACGGGAAGUGUUAAUCAAAACAGAAAGACCGCGGCUUCCAAAUAUUUUAUGACACCCCAAGAGUUAAUUGCAGUGGAAGUCACCCGUGAUGUACCGACGUUUGAUCAUCAAAAUAUUACGUAAUAUUAUCUAAAAAUAUUUUAAUUUUUAGCACAAGAAUACUGUCUCGAUCUCAGCGAUCUUUCUGCACUUUCAGAAAUUUUACGAUUCGUUAUUUUUGUAGUGUAGUGUUAUUCAGUUUGAUGGUUGUUUUUGUUUUAUAUAAAUACUUACCGAGUCCGAUUCGGAAGAUAAGUCUGUUAACUAUAUAAAUCAAGCUUUCAGACAUCAAAAUGAAAUUGUAUAUGAAUUUCAAUGUGAAAGUAAUCUAAAACAGAAUUUUAUGCCUAAAAAUAUAAUUCCCUUACUUUAACACUUUAUAUCUUCAAACCUCAAAGAGAAACUACAAUAAAUUUUGUAUCAUCGGAAAUAUAAAUGCCAGGUAAUAUUAAGAUUUUAUAUUUUAAAAUGUAUGAAGGGAAGUCAAGAAAUUCAAGAAUAUUUUUUGAUAUCAUAAUUUUUAGUGGUUGUCACAAUAGACUUGACAAUGAUUAUAUCUAUAAGAUACAAGUGUCUCCAAAGUCGAGACCUUGUCUUGACAUUGGCAGACAUUUAAAUUGAUAUCAGUUUGGAUACAUUCUUCUGUAGUAGUUAAGGUGUCAGCCACUCAGUACAGAGGUUGCGGGUUCGAACCCCACUGGGGUACGACCGUAACUUCUCAUAAGACAUCUGUUGUGAUUGUUUUUAUAUAUCAUAUUAUGAGGGAUCCCAAAGCCUGAGGAGGACCCCCAGAUUUAAAAAGUAGGGAUUCCUUUGGGAACCUUGUUCAAAUAAGUUAGUGUCUAACCCUGUAGACUGCUCACCUGGCUGUGAAUUAAAUAAAUUUGAUGGAUGAUGUGAUGGUAAGUUGGUUAUGAUAUAAGAUUGUCCCACUGACUUUACCUUAAAGGGUAACUAUUUUAUUUAAAUAGUUUUGGCAAUAUUUUUCAAUUUGUUUUUCAGAAAACCUUCAGUAAAGACAACCUAUUCAGUUCCAUUUCAAAGUCAUAUGUAAAGGUAGAAAUUCGCGUUUUACUGAGGCCACCCCAUGUCCUUUGUUUGGCCAAAAAUGUCACCUCCUAUGCAAAUUUGCGCAUUUUUUGAGUGUUUUACAAGAGUUUAGCAAAUGUUUUAAUGCACAGAAGGCAAAAAAAGCACUACUUCAUUUAAAAUGCCACGUAUCAGACACAACAAAUCCAUCAUGAUUUCAUGUCUAAAUCAUACAAAUACAGGAUCUGAUCCGCACCAGAUUUGGUGAAAUUUACCAAAAUAAAAAGAAAAUCUGAAAAAAAGUCUCUGAUGAUGUUUUCAUACUGUUCACUGGAUAUAAAUUUUGAACAUUAAAUAUGUGUCCAAUUUUUACAAAAAUCACACCUGAUAGCUUUACUAUGACCUGUAACUCACUUUGUCACAAAUGAAACAAACUUAUUAAGGUUGUCUCCCUUCCUUCUUGUGAUAUUCAGUCCCAGUUGAGGAUGUACAUUACCACUUACCAACAGAAAUAUGAAAAACAAACAUUUUGAGUUCACUUUUGUGCACCACAAUUGUAGAAUAGUAACUGCUCUUCUGGCAGAAGUGGGCAACAGAUACUGAAUAAUUUCACAUUUGGUUAAAGUUACCAUAUGGAAUCCAAUUCUUUACUAUUUGGAUAAAUAAAGUUCAGCAUAAUUGUUAUCAUUAUAUGUCUAUUUGCAUGUAAAUAAAGAAGGCCUUCUUGAGGUUUAUUAUCUGAUUGAUCAUUUGAAUGCUUAGAUGUUUAACCAUUCAUGUGGUCCGAAUCCUACACAUCUGUAUUCUGAACCAUUGUAAAUCAGACAAAAAAGCAUGUUUUGGCCUUGAUUAUUUGAUAAACAACUUAUACAGGGGUGGUAUAGUACGUCAUCAACAGGUGUGCGCAAUACUUCCCGAUGCGGCUUUUUUGUGUCAAAACACCUCGAUUCGUGACCAUGUAUUCGACACAGCUGUUCGGGGCAAACGAAAGAGGAAUGUAUUUAGUAUUAUGCCAACGAAAUGUUCUGAUGGGAUAUAGAUGUGCACUGGGAAAGAACAAGAGCGAAUAAAACUAAUCAAGACAAGGGGUAUCGAGUGAAUCUACACAACUGAAUUGAAAGAGAUCAAAUAUUUAAAAAUGACUAACGUUUAGAUAUUUACGCGGCUUGCAAAUCAUAGUGCACUCACUUGUAUUAUAAAACGCACGAUCAAUGUUAGUGAGCUUUGACAGAUGUAGAACAAUUUUACAUGUAAUGGCAAUUAUUUUGCUCAGUUUUCGUAAUUACUGCUAUGUUAAGAGAUUAUUUAAAUUUGGUAAUUUUAUUGGAUAUUUUAUGCAGACUCUUGCAUAUGUGAAGCCGUUGUAACAGUUGUUAUCAGGUUAAAGCAUCAGUAUAUAUUCUGCUAAGUAUUUUGCAGCUUGAAAAUUACAGAACAGAUUUUUAUGAACUUGUGCAAUACAUUAUGUCUUAUUGAUACAAAAAAAAACCAGAUUGUCAGAGAAUGAACAAAUAUUCCGAUUUUAACCAUUCAGAUAAUUUUUAAGAAUGUUACAAUGAUAUCACGAUAUAAACGAUAUCAAUCACACUAGUAUAUACAGAAAUGAUAUACAAAGAUAAUCUGCAUUUUACGAAUUCAAGAAAUAUAAAUUGUAUACUACAUGAAUAAUUUCAGAACUUUUGUUAUAAUUCUACUUUGGAAAUAAAAACAUAAAAGAUGA